GUAGGUGAACCUGCGGAAGGAUCAUUACCGAGUUCGUGCCCCCCGGGGUAGAUCUCCCACCCUGUUUACCUGACCCUGUUGCUUUGGCGGGCCGACCCUCCAGGCCGCCGGCGAUUCGCUGGCGUGCGCUCGCCAAAGGCCCCCAAACCCUGAACCUGAACGCGGCGUCCGAGUACUAUCUAAUAGUUAAAACUUUCAACAACGGAUCUCUUGGUUCUGGCAUCGAUGAAGAACGCAGCAUCUGACUGAC
rnacentral:misc_RNA from 1 species